UACGAAGGGGGCUAGCGUUGCUCGGAAUCACUGGGCGUAAAGCGCACGUAGGCGGUUUGCUAAGUCAGGGGUGAAAUCCUGGAGCUCAACUCCAGAACUGCCUUUGAUACUGGCGAUCUUGGGUCCGGGAGAGGUGAGUGGAACUGCGAGUGUAGAGGUGAAAUUCGUAGAUAUUCGCAAGAACACCAGUGGCGAGGGCGGCUCACUGGCCCGGUACUGACGCUGAGGUGCGAAAGCGUGGGGAGCAAACAGG
rnacentral:rRNA from 1 species